rnacentral:rRNA from 1 species
GAUGAACGCUGACAGAAUGCUUAACACAUGCAAGUCAACUUGAACUUCGGUUUGGGUGGCGGACGGGUGAGUAACGCGUAAAGAACUUGCCUCACAGCUAGGGACAACAUUUGGAAACGAAUGCUAAUACCUGAUAUUAUGAUUAUAUGGCAUCGUAUAAUUAUGAAAGCUAUAUGCGCUGUGAGAGAGCUUUGCGUCCCAUUAGCUAGUUGGAGAGGUAACAGCUCACCAAGGCGAUGAUGGGUAGCCGGCCUGAGAGGGUGAUCGGCCACAAGGGGACUGAGACACGGCCCUUACUCCUACGGGAGGCAGCAGUGGGGAAUAUUGGACAAUGGACCGAGAGGCUGAUCCAGCAAUUCUGUGUGCACGAUGAAGUUUUUCGGAAUGUAAAGUGCUUUCAGUUGGGAAGAAAAAAAUGACGGUACCAACAGAAGAAGUGACGGCUAAAUACGU